UAUAGUUAUACAAGUUUAAAUGAAAUGAUUCAUCAAGUUAGCCAGAGCAUUCGUGCGAGACAGGAUCCAUCAGGAAUGAAAAGAAAACAACAGAGUGGAUAAAAAAAGGCUAACCGUUAUUCGGUGUGGUGUAGUGGAAGAACUUGUGCGCCACCUACGAAAAAGUUAAGACAACAGGAACGCGAGAUACCAGAUGAAGACCAAGACAAACUAAACGUGAGUUAGAGAAGUUAUAUAGAGCCUUAAGAUGACGAGGAGGCAAGAGGCCAAGAAGAACUCUGGGUUUAGUUCUGAGCAAUGAGUAUAAUAUUCUACUCCUAUCCUACUAUUCCUACUUGGUAGAAGAUAGAGAGUAAAGAGAACCCUAUUACUGUACCACGUGUGUACACAUACCAAUACUAAUUCAAGAUGUAACAAUGAAUAAGACUAAGCAUCGUCUAUGUUGUGUACACACAACUAUAACUAUUCAUGGAUAUAUUGUACGAGCUCACGAAAGAGUAUCGGCAUGGUCGCGCAAGUGGGUUUCGAGUCGAAUGAAAGGAUCGUUGUGCCGUGCACAUAACGGGUAGCCUCAUCCCGACGCGGGCAUAAAUACACACCGAGAAGAGAUCCAAAAGGAGUGUCGUAUUUGUAUCGCUGAGCAGACUCAAGUUGAGCUGAGCUGAACCAGCACACCGAGAUACGGCCAGAAAAAAAUGAGUGAGUGAGUUAAGUUAAGGAAGAGAACGUCAGUCGCGAGGAGACAAAAAAAAGAGGACAGCCUGGCACACACGAUGAUGAAAGAUACUAUACAAGUCAACAAGCCAACAAGGGCUCCGACAUACACGGCUUUAUGUAUGUUCUCAUUGGCCUGCCUUAUUCUUCUUCUUCUUCUUCUUCUUCUUCUGCUUUCUCAACCCUUGCAGUGAGGAGACGGGUUACGUCACGUUGAAAAAGCUAUUUGAGGUCAACACCCCGCUGAAACGCGACACGUGUAGUACUUCUUGACGGUCCCUUGCCCUGUCUCCAGCUUUCCCCAUCGCCUCCCACUUCCCACCUCCUCAUCCUACUUCUGUACUCGACGUUAUACAUUACGUCUUUUUCGUCUCACUCACCCUACACACUACAUACACCGUCUAUGUUCUUUUAUUCUUUACUCGAUAGUGCGCAACGACAACUACCCUGGCCACAAGCUUACAGCGGCCAUUGCUUCUCAAAUUUCUCCUACUUUAUUUAUUAUUUAUUAUUAUUAUUAUUAUUAUUAUUCUACUAGAAUACCACUUGUUAGAAGAUUUCCAUUUUAAUCUACAGCUAUUUGCUACCCUUUUUUGCUUCUAUGACACACCAGCAAUAGGUGCAUUAUGUUAUUGUAAGAAAAAGGUGACACACAUUCAGUUGGUUGAUGCAAGAGUUAAUAAUAAGUCGUAUUUAAAUUAUACAAUUAUUUUUAUUCAAUUAUUUAAAUUAUAAAUU